rnacentral:lncRNA from 1 species
ACCAAUUCUUGCUGCUGAUUGGUCGUGAUGUCAUCAGUGAUGUCAUCAGUGUCUCCGACAGGCAGCGGUGCAGUGGCUCACCUUCAGUGCUUGCACUGUGGUCAUUUCUCCAAAAGCCACGCCCACCUGCUGUCUCACUUGGCGGAUGAUCAUCCAACCAGCCUGGACGACGUGCCGGUCGGUCGCCUCGGCAACAUCUUGAUGUACCAACCGGAGCCCCGCCUCUUCCACUGCGAGCCGUGCUUCUUCACCAGUCGUGACUUCGCUAAAGUCUUCCAGCACGUCAUCGCCAAGCACUGCGACGACGGCGCCGGUAAGGAGGAGGAGGAGGGAGGAGAGCGCCCAACCGUGAAGGAGGAGGAGCCAGAGCCGCUCAAUGAGGAGGAGGAGGGGGCGGAGCCUAAAGUGGAGAAGCCGAUGGACGACGAGGGCAGUUACGGCUGCGAAAUGAAAGCCCUGGACAUCCAACCAGUAAUCCAACAGCAGGACGUAGCGGGGACGUACGAUAGCGACGUGGCUAGCGCCUCAUCCAAAGAAACAUCGCCCACGCUGGAGAGCAGCUCGCCGUUAAACGUCUAUGAAAAGAGCGAUUUAUUAUCCAAGACUGAUCCGUCAUCCUCGAGCGACGACAUAAAGGAUCCGACGGUCGACAACAACGAAAGCGACAACAACGAAAAGAGCAACCAGUCGUUCAACAGCGACACGAAGAACUUCCUGGCGUUCAACGGCACCCUGUACCGAUGUCUGAUCUGCGGCUGGAAGAACAAGGUCAAAGCUUUCGGGGUGAAUCACGUGAUCCGAAACCACGACGUCCCCCGGAUGUACGCCUCGCACGGCGUCCAGGGCGACACCGUCACGCCGGACGACGAGGACGUUGUCGGGCUGAGCGCUGAGAUGCUGAAGGAGGAGAUCGAGGCGACCUCUAAGGUCGUGAGCUUUGCCGCGAGCCGAUUCUUCUGCCUCAUCUGCGGCUGGAAGACCAAACUGAAAGGCUUCGCCAUCAGCCACGUGAUUCGUUUCCACGACGUGGAGCUGCCGUACUCGUGUAAAGACUGCGGCCGCCGCUUCUUCCUGCCCAGCCGGCUGCACCAGCACGUGAGGGUGGAGCAUCGGCCCGGGCGCUACUUCUGCCCCUUCUGCUGCUUCAGGACGCACGUGCUCGGGGGCUUCAAGCGCCACUGCAGCCGCUGCUGCGCACGGGAGGGGGCGGAUCCCGGUCAGGUGCCUGAGCCCGGUCAGGGGGUGGAGCCUGCGGAGAGGAGGGUGGGCAGGAAGAGACGAAGAACAGUGAAAAUGAUGGAGGCUGAGGAUGAGGAGGAUAAAGACUGAAGGGUUUUUGGUUUGUUUACGUUUUUAAUUGAGUUAAACAAAAUAAAACCACUUUUUACAGUUUUUAACUAAUAUGG